GCUGCAAUUAUAAAUUUAAGUGUCACUAUUUAAUGGUCUUGCUCCCCAACCAACUCAAGGAGGGCAGAGAUCUCUUUUGCUCACUGUCACCUCCCAUGUCUGGCACAUUGUAGGUGACCAGUAGGUACUCAUGGAAUAAGUGGACAUGCUAAGUACACUGACUGCUUCCAUGGACCCAGCACAGUGCCCAGAUCCUCAGUGGAAUACCUCUUAUCUGAGGAUCUCAGAGCACUGGAAACCUUGGUUACUGUUUGCAGAGCGAGAGUUUGGCUGAACUAGAGUAUAGCUGCCGAAGGGAGUGGGCUCCCUUCUUCCUGUCCCAGACUCUUCAGGAAGCAAGCACAGUCCUGGCCUUCUAGAUUCAUCUCCAGAAGCUGAACGGAAGCUGAGGAGUGAGGCAAUUAUUUGGAGAAUUCAGCUCCACCACAGAAGCCAGAGCCAGCCUGCUGGAGACGUCACAUGGAAGAGAAUUGAGGUGCCCAUACCAACAGCCUCAGCCAAUUGCCAGUCACAUGAGUUAGUCCGUGGGAGGCCCCCAUCCCCCAGCCCUCAGCAGACUGCAAAUGCUGGCGUGAGCCCAGCUAAAACCACUGGGAGCCGAGAUGAGCCACCCCAGCUGAGCCUUGUCAUCCCAGAGAACUGUGAGCCAUUAAGUGGUUAUAGCUUGAAGCCACUGUUUUGCAGUGGUUUGUUAUGUAGCAGAAGAUAGUACAAUUAACAUUUUUACCACUGCCUGUGUGCCAGGAAUUAUGUUAAAUGUUUUACAUCUAUAAUCUAACUUAUUCCUCACAUCAACCACGUGAAGCAGUGUUACUACUCUACCAUCCAGUUACAGACGAGAGCACUGAGGCACGAGAAAGAAAAGUAACUUAAUGGAGAUAAAAGAACAGAUGAGUUGGGAGCUGGGAUCCGAGACCAGGCUAUCCGAGGGUCAGAGCCCAGGUAGCCGCUACACCACAGGGAACCAAACUGACGUGGCUCUUGCCCUCAUGGAGCUUUACAGUUUAGUGGGGAGACUGGAAUGAAACAAACACAGAAAUACUGAUAGACAACCACAGAUAUUGAUAAGUCUAUAAAGAGAAUGCAUGCUGUGU